rnacentral:rRNA from 1 species
GACGAACGCUGGCGGCGUGCCUAAUACAUGCAAGUAGAACGCUGAAGAGAGGAGCUUGCUCUUCUUGGAUGAGUUGCGAACGGGUGAGUAACGCGUAGGUAACCUGCCUUGUAGCGGGGGAUAACUAUUGGAAACGAUAGCUAAUACCGCAUAACAAUAGGUGACACAUGUCAUUUAUUUGAAAGGGGCAAUUGCUCCACUACAAGAUGGACCUGCGUUGUAUUAGCUAGUAGGUGAGGUAACGGCUCACCUAGGCGACGAUACAUAGCCGACCUGAGAGGGGGAGCGGCCACACUGGGACUGAGACACGGCCCAGACGCCUACGGGAGGCAGCAGUAGGGAAUCUUCGGCAAUGGGGGCAACCCUGACCGAGCAACGCCGCGGGAGUGAAGAAGGUUUUCGGAUCGGAAAGCUCGGUUGUAAGUCAAGAACGAGUGUGAGAGUGGAAAGUUCACACUGUGACGGUAGCUUACCAGAAAGGGACGGCUAACUACGUG